rnacentral:lncRNA from 1 species
GCCUCCUCCGACAGCCGUGCUCGUGUCCGAUUGCGUUGCUCGCCUCGAUUGUUCGUUUUGGUAACAUUAUAGAAAUCAUUUAUUGAUGAAAUCGCGAAUAAAACAAUAUUUUGAAAUAAUUAAAUAAUUAAUAUUUAUUUAAAUAAAUAAAUUACUGUUUUUAAAUAAAUUUAAAAUUACUGAAAUUCUUUAUAUUAUUUACUGUUAUGAAUUAAAUAAAUAAUAAUUUGUUUUAAAAAAAAAAAAAAUUUAAUUAAGUAAUAAAAUUAGUUUUUUGUCUUAUACUUGUAAAUAAUUAAUUUCCAUGAAAUUUUAAUUUGUUAAGUAAUAAUUAUUAAAUUGUAUCAAAAUAAUUUGUUAAUGAAAUUGGUAAUUAAAUAAUUAGAAAUUAUUUAAUUACUGUUUAUAAUAAUAAUUAAAAUAAUUAAAAUACAUUAAAAAAUCGAAUUGCUCGCCUCGAUUUUUUAAUUACUGUUUUUAUUUCUUAUUUCUUAAUAUUUCGAAAUUAAAAUAAUUAGUUAUUAAAAUAAUUAAAAUACUGUUUUAAAUAAUUUUAAAAUUACUGAAAUUCUUUAUAUUAUUUACUGUUAUGAAUUAAAUAAAUAAUAAUUUGUUUAAAAAAAAAAAAAAAUUAUUUUCAUGUUUGAAAUUAAAAAAUAAUUUGUUUUAAUUAUUUUCUGUUUUUAAAUUAAAUAAAUAAUAAUUUUGUUGAAAUAAAUAAAAAAUUAUUUGACUUGAUAUUGUUGACUUGAUGUAGGUUUUGAAAAAUCAAGAAUCCAAUAAAUUUGGAUUGAAUUAAGCUAUAUUGCGGUAUGAAAAUUAUACAUUUUUUUUAAUCUUUUUGUUUUAAAAAUAUUUAUUGAAUUUGCAUGCAUGUAAAUAUAAAUUUGUUAAUUAGUAAUUAUUAAAUUGACUGAUUUUAAAUGCUAUCAAUAAUAAUUAAUUUGCAUGAAAUUGUUAAUUAAUAAUUAUGAAAUUGAAUGAUUUUAAAUUUUAUCAAUAAUUAUUAAUUUGCAUAAAAUAAUUAAUUUAUUAUUUUUUAAUUAAAUUGAAUGAUUUUAAAUUGAAUUAAUAAUGAUUAAUUAAAUUGCAUGAAAUAUUAGAAAUGUUAAUGAAUAAAUAUGAAAUAGAAUGAUUUUAAAUUGAAUUAAUAAUGAUUAAUUAAAUUGCAUGAAAUAUUAGAAAUGUUAAUGAAUAAUUAUGAAAUAGAAUGAUUUUAAAUUGAAAUAAAAAUUAUUAAUUUGCUAAUUAUUUGUUAAUAGUAAUUAUGAAAUUGAAAUGUUAAUGAUUAAUUUGCCUGAAAAUAAAAAUUUGUUAAUUAAUUAGUAAUUAUUAUGUAUUGAUUAAUUAAUUAAUUUAUUAAUUGAUUAAUUAAUUAAUUAUUUCUUUGUUUAAAAAAUAUUAAAUUAAUUAAUUUAAUAUUUUUUUAGAUUUUAAGAAAUGCCACGUAGAGUUAAGCAAUUACCUCGUCGGAGGACGCUCUACCACCCAAUCCCCAAGAUGCUUUCCGGUUUUAUCUCCCGGUUCAAUAAUUAGCUAGAUUUUCUCAAAAAAAUUGAACUAUAACUAAUAUUGUAAUAGUCAAUUAAUUUUUAUCUAAUUAAUUAUAAUUCGAUAAAAUUUUUAGGAUAAUGUCGAACGUUAUGAAAGUACCCGAUAAAGCUUGGUUGAGUUUAGAUCGGUUUUCGAAAGAAUACGGCGAAGGGUUAACAGCUUUCACAAAUUUCGCCAUUUCGAAUUCGAC